CUGCAGCUCUAGUGGUGAUCAUUAUUAUUGGGCCUAAAACGUCCGUAGCCGGUUUAGUAAAUGCCUGGGUAAAUCGUGUAGCUCAACUAUACGACUUCCGGGUAGACUGCUGAACUUGAGAUCGGGAGAGGUUAGAGGUACUCCUGGGGUAGAGGUGAAAUUCUGUAAUCCUAGGGGGACCACCAGUGGCGAAGGCGUCUGACUAGAACGGAUCCGACGGUAAGGGACGAAACCCUGGGGUGCGAACCGGAUUAGAUACCCGAGUAGUCC
rnacentral:rRNA from 1 species